UGGGCUGAGACGCGUCUUGUUGAGACAUGCACUUAUGGCGGCUGAGGGUGCCCGGGCCUUGUUUUGAAUUAUGCACCAGCACAUGGUUACAGCUCUGGGCACUGUGGACCGGAUUGCCGAUUUGGUGGCAUUAAAUCGAAUAUUGCAUUUAUCGAGCUGAAACUUGGCGUACUUCAAUAAUAGACCACUCUAAAUAUUUAAGCAAAUUUCCAACCAGCACGGAAGAGUGGCGCCUGCUGUCGAUCCACACGUCCAGCAACGUGGCAUGACAGUACUCAAGCACA